AUUGAACGCUGGCGGCAGGCCUAACACAUGCAAGUCGAACGAGUGGCGGACGGGUGCGUAAUGUCUGGGAAUCUGCACGAUGGAGGGGGAUAACUACUGGAAACGGUAGAUAAUACCGCAUACCAUCGGCUAUGCCCAGAUGGGAUGAGCUAUUCGGUGGGGUAAUGGCUCACCUAGGCGACGAUCCCUAGCUGGUCUGAGAGGAUGACCAGCCACACUGGAACUGAGACACGGUCCAGACUCCUACGGGAGGCAGCAGUGGGGAAUAUUGGACAAUGGGCGCAAGCCUGAUGCAGCCAUGCCGCGUGUAUGAAGAAGGCCUUCGGGUUGUAAAGUACUUUAAGUGAGGAGGCGUUACUAGCAGAAGAAGCACCGGCUAACUCCGUGCCAGCAGCCGCGGUAAUAC
rnacentral:rRNA from 1 species